rnacentral:rRNA from 1 species
GGCGAACGCUGGCGGCGUGCUUAACACAUGCGAGUCGAACGGAAAGGCCCUGCUUUUGUGGGGUGCUCGAGUGGCGAACGGGUGAGUAACACGUGAGUAACCUGCCCUUGACUUUGGGAUAACUUCAGGAAACUGGGGCUAAUACCGGAUAGGAGCUCCUGCUGCAUGGUGGGGGUUGGAAAGUUUCGGCGGUUGGGGAUGGACUCGCGGCUUAUCAGCUUGUUGGUGGGGUAGUGGCUUACCAAGGCUUUGACGGGUAGCCGGCCUGAGAGGGUGACCGGCCACAUUGGGACUGAGAUACGGCCCAGACUCCUACGGGAGGCAGCAGUGGGGAAUAUUGCACAACGGGCGGAAGCCUGAUGCAGCAACGCCGCGUGCGGGAUGACGGCCUUCGGGUUGUAAACCGCUUUCGCCUGUGACGAAGCGUGAGUGACGGUAAUGGGUAAAGAAGCACCGGCUAACUACGUG